rnacentral:tmRNA from 1 species
GGGGGCGUCACGGUUUCGACGUGUUUGGUGAACGUGGAGGAGCGUGCCGAGGCCCCGACACCUCGCUAAUCCUCGGGAAAAAUCAUAGCUGCCAACACUAACCUGGCGCUGGCCGCGUAAGCUUCUUACCGGCCCGUUUCACGAAUUGCCCGCCCAGGGCGGCUCGCUGAAACGUCGAUGAUCUGGGCUGUGCCCCCCGGCAGCGCCGCCGGGUCGGGGGGCGAGAUCCAAGGCGGCUGGCCGAGAACCGGUUGAUCACUGGCCGACCGCGGCGAGACCAAGCAGCGAUCUACGCACGUAGUGCCUCUGCCGGACCUAGAUGCGGACGCGGGUUCGACUCCCGCCGCCUCCACUG